AUAUACGAUCUCCAAGUUGCGA
rnacentral:siRNA from 1 species